rnacentral:rRNA from 1 species
AAAGGAAUAGACGGGGGCCCGCACAAGCGGUGGAGCAUGUGGUUUAAUUCGAUGAUACGCGAGGAACCUUACCUGGGCUUAAAUGCAUAAUGACAUCCCGAGAAAUCGGGAGUUCUUCGGACAGAAUGCAAGGUGCUGCAUGGCUGUCGUCAGCUCGUGCUGUGAGGUGUCGGGUUAAGUCCCAUAACGAGCGCAACCCCUAUUUCUAGUUGCCAGCGAGUAAUGUCGGGGACUCUAGAGAAACUGCCCGCGUAAGCGGUGAGGAAGGAGGGGACGACGUCAAGUCAUCACGGCCCUUACGUCCAGGGCUACACACGUGCUACAAUGGUAGAGACAGAGGGCAGCCACUCGGUGACGAGGCGCUAAUCUUUAAACUCUAUCUCAGUUCGGAUCGAAGUCUGCAACUCGACUUCGUGAAGCUGGAAUCGCUAGUAAUCGCACAUCAGCCACGGUGCGGUGAAUACGUUCCCGGGCCUUGUACACACCGCCCGU